rnacentral:rRNA from 1 species
GUCGAGGGGCAGCGGGGGGCGCGCUUGCGCGUCCCGCCGGCGACCGGCGCACGGGUGAGUAACACGUAUGCAACCUGCCCCCGCCAGGGGUACAACCCUCCGAAAGGGGGGCUGAUACCGCGUACAUCCCUUGGGGGCAUCCCCGGGGGAGGAAAGCCCUUCGGGGCGGGCGGGGAUGGGCAUGCGGCGCAUUAGGAAGACGGCGGUGUGACGGACCACCGUUCCGACGAUGCGUAGGGGUGCUGAGAGGAAGGCCCCCCACACUGGUACUGAGACACGGACCAGACUCCUACGGGAGGCAGCAGUGAGGAAUAUUGGUCAAUGGCCGGAAGGCUGAACCAGCCAAGCCGCGUGAGGGAGGAAGGCGCAGAGCGUCGCAGACCUCUUUUGCCGGGGGACAAAAGGCCGGACGGGUCCGGUUCUGAGGGUACCCGGAGAAAAAAGCAUCGGCUAACUCCGUGCCAGCAGCCGCGGUAAUACGGAGGAUGCGAGCGUUAUCCGGAUUCAUUGGGUUUAAAGGGUGCGCAGGCGGGCCUUUAAGCCGGCGGUGAAAUCGCGGGGCUCAACCCCGCCGAGCCCUCCCAACUGGGGGCCUUGAGUGCGGCG